AUCCGGAUGACGAGUCCUAAAUGGGAUGAAACACGCGUUUUGGAU
rnacentral:hammerhead_ribozyme from 1 species